rnacentral:rRNA from 1 species
GAUGAACGCUGGCGGCGUGCCUAAUACAUGCAAGUCGAGCGAACAGACGAGGAGCUUGCUCCUCUGACGUUAGCGGCGGACGGGUGAGUAACACGUGGAUAACCUACCUAUAAGACUGGGAUAACUUCGGGAAACCGGAGCUAAUACCGGAUAAUAUAUUGAACCGCAUGGUUCAAUAGUGAAAGACGGUUUUGCUGUCACUUAUAGAUGGAUCCGCGCCGCAUUAGCUAGUUGGUAAGGUAACGGCUUACCAAGGCAACGAUGCGUAGCCGACCUGAGAGGGUGAUCGGCCACACUGGAACUGGGAAACGGUCCAGACUCCUACGGGAGGCAGCAGUAGGGAAUCUUCCGCAAUGGGCGAAAGCAUGACGGAGCAACGCCGCGUGAGUGAUGAAGGUCUUCGGAUCGUAAAACUCUGUUAUUAGGGAAGAACAAAUGUGUAAGUAACUAUGCACGUCUUGACGGUACCUAAUCAGAAAGCCACGGCUAACUACGUG